GGCUCUAUAUUUUAACCUAGAAUGGCUAAUUUGCACUUAGUUGGUGGGAUUUUUAUUCCUAGAGCU
rnacentral:tRNA from 1 species